rnacentral:siRNA from 1 species
GGUCAAAUCACCGCGCAUGUGCUC